rnacentral:tRNA from 1 species
GAGGGCAUAGCUCAAGUGGUAGCGUACAUGCUUAGCAUGCAUGAGGUCCUUGAUUCAAUUCCCAGUACCUUUA